rnacentral:rRNA from 1 species
GGCGAUACGGNCACGACUAGAGUGCUGUAGGGGUAACUGGAAUUCCUGGUGUAGCGGUGAAAUGCGCAGAUNUCAGGAGGAACACCGAUGGCGAAGGCAGGUUACUGGGCAGUUACUGACGCUGAGGAGCGAAAGCAUGGGGAGCGAACAGGAUUAGAUACCCUGGUAGUCCAUGCUGUAAACGGUGGGCGCUAGGUGUGGGCUGUGUGUUUGCAGUCUGUGCCGUAGCUAACGCAUUAAGCGCCCCGCCUGGGGAGUACGGCCGCAAGGCUAAAACUCAAAGGAAUUGACGGGGGCCCGCACAAGCGGCGGAGCAUGUGGAUUAAUUCGAUGCAACGCGAAGAACCUUACCUGGGUUUGACAUGCACCAGAUCGGCGUAGAGAUACGUUUUCCCUUGUGGUUGGUGCACAGGUGGUGCAUGGUUGUCGUCAGCUCGUGUCGUGAGAUGUUGGGUUAAGUCCCGCAACGAGCGCAACCCUUGUCUUAUGUUGCCAGCACAUUUUUGGUGGGGACUCAUGAGAAACUGCCGGGGUCAACUCGGAGGAAGGUGGGGAUGACGUCAAAUCAUCAUGCUCUUUAUACCCAGGGCUUCACACAUGCUACAAUGGUCGGUACAACGGGUUGCGACACUGUGAAGUGAAGCUAAUCUCUUAAAGCCGGCCUCAGUUCGGAUUGGGGUCUGCAACUCGACCCCA